GUCAAAUGAAGAUCAAGAAAACAUCCGAUGGCCAUGUUAGCUAUUAAAGAAUUUGAAGUAGACGUUAGAGGCCAUUGUAGAUCCUUCAAUCGGAAAAGCCAACGACAUGCUCUACAUGUUAUCGAACAUGGAUCAGUAUCAGGUUCGCACCUAUGGGUUGGUGUACUUGUUUGGGAAUAUAGAUACAAGAACUACAAAGAUGUAAGGAGAUAGAGCAAGCCUUUGCAAAGGUCUUGGUUCACAACUACCCACUUGCCUGCAGGCUCGCGAAAGAUUUAGAUGAGAGAUUUGUUGCAGAUUGUACAGGUAAAGGUUCAACCUUCAUUGAAGCAUUUGCAGAUUACAAGCUUCGAGCACGAUGCUAGGGGCAACUUAUUCAUGCUUUUCUGGUAAGAAGAACAUCUACGAAGUACCUUCGCUGACUGCACAGGUGACAGAGUUCAAGCGUGGAGGACAACCUUGGAGUAGUGAUUAAUCAUUGCAUGGCUGAUGCUGCUGUAUCUACCAUGAAAUUCAUAAACACAUGGGCUGAAAUCGCAAGAGGGCCUUUUAAGGACUGGUUCAACUCUUCAAGGGGGCCACUCGAUCUCUGUUGACAGCUGUUCAUUUCUGGUUUUUUUCUACAGUUCUUGAUUUUCUCUCUCCUAGGUCAGAAAUCAAGAACCUUCAUAACUCUGCAACCAGCCGUCAGAAUCUGCUAAUAUUUGGGGGUUUUGCUCCUCACAUCUGAGCCUACAAUCGACCAAAAGAUCAGCUCCAUCUGA